GAUGAACGCUGACAGAAUGCUUAACACAUGCAAGUCUUUGGCGAAGCUGUGCUUGCACAGCCUAGCCAAGGCGGACGGGUGAGUAACGCGUAAGGAACUUGCCCUGCAGUCAGGGAUAACAGACGGAAACGACUGAUAAGACCUGGUAAAGUCAGGCGGACUCAUGUCCAGCCUGAUGAAAAGAGAUGCUGCAGGAGAGCCUUGCGUCCUAUUAGCUUGUUGGUGGGGUAACGGCCCACCAAGGCGAUGAUAGGUAGCCGGCCUGAGAGGGUGGACGGCCACAAGGGGACUGAGAUACGGCCCUGACUCCUACGGGAGGCAGCAGUGAGGAAUAUUGGACAAAGGGGGCAACCCUGAUCCAGCAAUUCUGUGUGCACGAUGAAGGUUUUCGGAUUGUAAAGUGCUUUCAGCAGGGAAGAAAAAAAUGACGGUACCUGCAGAAGAAGCGACGGCUAAAUACGUG
rnacentral:rRNA from 1 species